CCCCGCAAGGUCGGUACACAGGUGGUGCAUGGUUGUCGUCAGCUCGUGUCGUGAGAUGUUGGGUUAAGUCCCGCAACGAGCGCAACCCUCGUUCUAUGUUGCCAGCACGUGAUGGUGGGGACUCAUAGGAGACUGCCGGGGUCAACUCGGAGGAAGUGGGGAUGACGUCAAAUCAUCAUGCCCCUUACGUCUUGGGCUUCACGCAUGCUACAAUGGCCGGUACAGAGGGCUGCGAUACCGCGAGGUGGAGCGAAUCCCUUAAAGCCGGUCUCAGUUCGGAUUGGGGUCUGCAACUCGACCCCAUGAAGUCGGAGUCGCUAGUAAUCGCAGAUCAGCAACGCUGCGGUGAAUACGUUCCCGGGCCUU
rnacentral:rRNA from 1 species